AAGAGCCGUAUGAAAGGAGACUUUCACGUACGGUUCCGGGAGAAGUUUGAGGUGAAAGUCCUCUUACUUACUCGAC
rfam:Blautia sp. YL58, complete genome.